AUGGACUUCGCCAUUUUGUAUUGGACUGGAUCGUCAUCUCACUAGUCUACGAUCGCCAAAUUGUAGAGUAAAAUACACCUCACUACACAGACGGUCUGUCUGAAUAUACAGCAUCAUUUCAUCGUCUAUAUGGUGGGACAACCUGCUAGACAGGGUAAGUUAUACUACAAAUAAAUUGAUUUCUGUGAUGCAAAGCUGGAUUUUCAUCAUUCCAGUGUCACAUGAUUAUUUAGAAAUCAUUUUAAUAUGAUGAUUUAUUGUCAAUAUUGGAAACAGGUGUUUUUUUUUCAAAUAAAUGCAGGCAUGAUAAGCAUAAGAGACUUCAUUCCAAACAUUUCACCGGUAGUGUACACACAUGCUGGGACACAAUAUUUCUGAAACAGAAAAAUACAUACUCUUCGUCUGACAAAAUCUUUAUCUGUCUCUAUAAAAACUAUUAUCUACAUAAAAAAUUGUUAAAGAAAAUCAUUAAAUAAUGUGGGUUUUUUGUCUUGUUCUAGUUGAAGACAUCUGUACCUACCUCAAAGAAGGCAUGGAGAAACAGAUUAAAGAAUAUGUGGUAAGUGUAUGUCAACCUACUCUAUUUUUAUAUCUAUCUAUUUAUAUGUAUGUGUAUGUGUGUGUAUAUAAAUAUCUUAUGGAUAACUAGAUGUUUAAACAAGGUGAUUAUCUGUUUUCAGGUCUUUUGAUGGUUUUGUGACUAAUGUUCUAUUAUUUUACACGUUUGAAUCAGUCUACAUAUUUUAAAUAUCAGAGU